AGGUGAGGACCUCAUCGAGGUAGGGGUUGGGCGGUGGAGAAGGGAGAGUGGCGGGGUAGCUUAGGGAAGCUUGUGAGCCAAUCAGCACACAAUGUGCCAGAGUGUGGGCGUGGACUGAGGGAAGAAGUGAAAAACACAGCCUGCAACGGUGCCUCAACAGUACCCCCAUUUGAAAUUUCGCCGGCUCCUGAGCAGACUGGGGGUCUGGCGGGCUUUUGACAUAGAUUGUCAAGAUUGUUUCAAUUAUACACUUGCAGUUAUUGAGGCUGAGAGAGGUGAAGCACCUUGCCUAAGGUCAUACAGCCAGUGUUCGAGCCCAGAAAGGUUGCUCAAUCGCAGAUGGACCAAUGGUGAAAGCACACCUGAACAAAGGAAAAGCAGACAUAUUUAUCCCUUACACAUUUGGGUUGUCCUUACUGCUGUGUCCUGCAUCCAUUGGCUGGAGCGGAACCUCACACUCUUAAACUGAUACCCAAUUUGCUAAUAGCCUAAAACUUCCUAAAUAGCUGCUAAGAAGACCGCAGCAGCCUUCAUAAGUUGUAUCUUCCCCUUUACUGAAGAAUCACCAGUCACCUACAGUUGCACAGCAAGCAUGGGAAAAUAACUGAAAUUUUGAUGUGCCAUUUCUCACUUCUUUAAGAACCCUCCUUCAAAUUCCUGAAUAAAGCUGCUAACUAAGACAAAUGAAUUUUAAAAGUUUGAGACUUAAAUACCUCUCUACUAAAAGGGAAAUGGAUAAAAAGAUGCUGACUGCCAGGCUGGUUUCGGAUCCUUUGUAUUCUGUCAG
rnacentral:lncRNA from 10 species